GGUCGAGUGGCGCAAUUGGUUAGCGCGUCGAGCUAAUAUUCUAGUUGACUCGAAGGCUGUGGGUUCGAGACCCAUCUUGACCA
rfam:Calocera cornea HHB12733 unplaced genomic scaffold CALCOscaffold_102, whole genome shotgun sequence.